CGUGAAGAGAUGCAUGCUCUUUUUGUAAAUGCUAAUUGUUUUAAAAGUUGAAAAGCAAACCUUUGGAAAACUCAAAAAUCUUCCUUGAAAUAAUUUUACUCAGAGCAUUGUCCUCUCCCUGGUUUAGGAAUCAUUCUUGCCAGAGAUUCAAUCUUGAAAUUAACAGCCAGGUCCUUGCCUGCUGUGCAGUCUGAUGAAAGACUUCAGCCUCUGCUCAACCACCUCAGUCAUUCCUACACUGGCCAAGAUUACAGUACCCAGGGAAAUGUUGGGAAGAUUUCUUUAGAUCAGAUUGAUUCGCUUUCUACCAAAUCCUUCCCACCUUGCAUGCGUCAGUUACAUAAAGCCUUGCGGGAAAAUCACCAUCUUCGUCAUGGAGGCCGAAUGCAGUAUGGCCUAUUUCUGAAGGGCAUUGGUUUAACUUUGGAACAGGCAUUGCAGUUCUGGAAGCAAGAAUUUAUCAAAGGAAAGAUGGAUCCAGACAAG
rnacentral:sRNA from 1 species